UUAGCAAUGUAUAAUAUAAUC
rnacentral:piRNA from 1 species